AGAGUUUGAUCAUGGCUCAGAUUGAACGCUGGCGGUAUGCUUAACACAUGCAAGUCGAACGGUAACAGGCCUUCGGGCGCUGACGAGUGGCGGACGGGUGAGUAACGCGUAGGAAUCUGCCUCAUAGUGGGGGACAACGUGGGGAAACCCACGCUAAUACCGCAUACGCCCUACGGGGGAAAGCGGGGGCUCUUCGGACCUCGCGCUAUGAGAUGAGCCUGCGUUAGAUUAGCUAGUUGGUAGGGUAAAUGCCUACCAAGGCGACGAUCUAUAGCUGGUCUGAGAGGACGAUCAGCCACACUGGGACUGAGACACGGCCCAGACUCCUACGGGAGGCAGCAGUGGGGAAUAUUGGACAAUGGGCGGAAGCCUGAUCCAGCAAUACCGCGUGUGUGAAGAAGGCCUUAGGGUUGUAAAGCACUUUCAAUUGGGAGGAAAACCUGCCGGUCAAUACCCGGUAGCUUGACAUUACCUUUAGAAGAAGCACCGGCUAACUCCGUGCCAGCAGCCGCGGUAAUACGGAGGGUGCGAGCGUUAAUCGGAAUUACUGGGCGUAAAGCGUGCGUAGGCGGUUCGUUAAGUCAGAUGUGAAAGCCCUGGGCUCAACCUGGGAACGGCAUUUGAAACUGGCGGACUAGAGUUUAGUAGAGGGGAGUGGAAUUUCAGGUGUAGCGGUGAAAUGCGUAGAUAUCUGAAGGAACACCAGUGGCGAAGGCGACUCCCUGGACUAGAACUGACGCUGAGGUACGAAAGCGUGGGUAGCAAACAGGAUUAGAUACCCUGGUAGUCCACGCCGUAAACGAUG
rnacentral:rRNA from 1 species